GAUGAACGCUAGCGGCAGGCUUAAUACAUGCAAGUCGUACGGGAUCCGAGGUAGCAAUACUUUGGUGAGAGUGGCGCACGGGUGCGUAACACGUAUGCAACCUACCUUUAACCGGGACACAACCUUGAGAAAUUGAGGCUAAUAUCCCAUAACACUGCGAGAUGGCAUCAUUUUGCAAGUUAAAACUCCGGUGGUUAUAGAUGGGCAUGCGCGACAUUAGCUAGUUGGUGAGGUAACGGCCCACCAAGGCUACGAUGUCUAGGGGUUCUGAGAGGAUUACUCCCCCANACUGGUACUGAGACACGGACCAGACUCCGUACGGGAGGCAGCAGUAAGGAAUAUUGGUCAAUGGGCNCAAGCCUGAACCAGCCAUGCCGCGUGAAGGAUGACGGCCCUAUGGGUU
rnacentral:rRNA from 1 species